CAGCACCUUGAUGAGGCAGAAGAUCAGGCCAAAGAACAUGAGAAUUUUCAGGACUGUGCAACAGAUGAGAUAAGGAAGAAAUAGUCUAGGUCAAUGAAGUGGCAGACGUGGGCUCCUGGCUGCCAAGAACAGGAAUAUUUGCCACCUCACCUUGCUUGAUAUGUAGUGGAGCUUUUCAUCAUCAAAAAGUGGAUGUCAAAGCACGUAAUAAAGAUAUCCACCAUGGAACGUAUUUGCAGAAUUAACACAGAACUCCUCUGAACUCCACAGAUGAUGACCUGGCUUCAGUUUGAGGUGUAUUUUGCCACUGCUAACCUCCAUUAAUGCAGAGAUGAACGAGAAGUGACUUGAUCCUUGGCACUAAGAGCCAUCACUAGAGGAGAAAUAUUAAAGACUCUUCAGUUUAACCAACUGGAAAUUUAAACCAGACAAGUUAAAGUGGGAAAUGCACAGCAUUAUCACAGUGGUUCAUUAACCAAUGGAACAAACCAGCAGCAGAAAUGGAAUAAUCUCCAUUUCUGUCUUCACAUCA